GGGGCUGUCCUGGUUUCGACGUAGGUUCGGAGCCGGUGUGGUGCAUGUCGAGCUUGAAUGAUGCUCGUAAAUCUCCGUUCAAAAAACUAACUGCAAACGACGAACGUUUCGCACUCGCCGCUUAAUCCGGUGAGCUUUGCAACAGCACGUUGAUGGGCUGGGCAAGGGGGUCGCAAGACCUCCAGGCUGCAAAGGAAUUUUCAUCAACUGGUUCCGUGCCGGGUACCUUGGUAUGGAACGAGAAAAUAGGGUACUGGCUUCGUUCACAGCGUGCGCCUACGCGGUGAUUGAGGCGAGAUUUAAAUUAGAGCGCUAAACAUGUAGAUCUGCCCGGUAAAGGCUUGCGGACGCGGGUUCAAUUCCCGCCAGCUCCACCA
rnacentral:tmRNA from 1 species